UUAAGCGACUAAGCGUACACGGUGGAUGCCCUGGCAGUCAGAGGCGAUGAAGGACGUGCUAAUCUGCGAAAAGCGUCGGUAAGGUGAUAUGAACCGUUAUAACCGGCGAUGUCCGAAUGGGGAAACCCAGUGCAAUUCGUUGCACUAUCGUUAACUGAAUACAUAGGUUAACGAGGCGAACCGGGGGAACUGAAACAUCUAAGUACCCCGAGGAAAAGAAAUCAACCGAGAUUCCCCCAGUAGCGGCGAGCGAACGGGGAGCAGCCCAGAGUCUGAAUCAGCUUGUGUGUUAGUGGAACGGUCUGGAAAGUCCGACGGUACAGGGUGAUAGUCCCGUACACCAAAAUGCACAGGUUGUGAACUCGAAGAGUAGGGCGGGACACGUGGUAUCCUGUCUGAAUAUGGGGGGACCAUCCUCCAAGGCUAAAUACUCCUGACUGACCGAUAGUGAACCAGUACCGUGAGGGAAAGGCGAAAAGAACCCCGGCGAGGGGAGUGAAAAAGAACCUGAAACCGUGUACGUACAAGCAGUGGGAGCACCUUCGGGUGUGACUGCGUACCUUUUGUAUAAUGGGUCAGCGACUUAUAUUCUGUAGCAAGGUUAACCGUAUAGGGGAGCCGCAGGGAAACCGAGUCUUAACUGGGCGUUAAGUUGCAGGGUAUAGACCCGAAACCCGGUGAUCUAGCCAUGGGCAGGUUGAAGGUUGGGUAACACUAACUGGAGGACCGAACCGACUAAUGUUGAAAAAUUAGCGGAUGACUUGUGGCUGGGGGUGAAAGGCCAAUCAAACCGGGAGAUAGCUGGUUCUCCCCGAAAGCUAUUUAGGUAGCGCCUCGUGAAUUCAUCUUCGGGGGUAGAGCACUGUUUCGGCUAGGGGGUCAUCCCGACUUACCAACCCGAUGCAAACUACGAAUACCGAAGAAUGUUAUCACGGGAGACACACGGCGGGUGCUAACGUCCGUCGUGAAGAGGGAAACAACCCAGACCGCCAGCUAAGGUCCCAAAGUCAUGGUUAAGUGGGAAACGAUGUGGGAAGGCACAGACAGCCAGGAUGUUGGCUUAGAAGCAGCCAUCAUUUAAAGAAAGCGUAAUAGCUCACUGGUCGAGUCGGCCUGCGCGGAAGAUGUAACGGGGCUAAACCAUGCACCGAAGCUGCGGCAGCGACACUAUGUGUUGUUGGGUAGGGGAGCGUUCUGUAAGCCUGCGAAGGUGUGCUGUGAGGCAUGCUGGAGGUAUCAGAAGUGCGAAUGCUGACAUAAGUAACGAUAAAGCGGGUGAAAAGCCCGCUCGCCGGAAGACCAAGGGUUCCUGUCCAACGUUAAUCGGGGCAGGGUGAGUCGACCCCUAAGGCGAGGCCGAAAGGCGUAGUCGAUGGGAAACAGGUUAAUAUUCCUGUACUUGGUGUUACUGCGAAGGGGGGACGGAGAAGGCUAUGUUAGCCGGGCGACGGUUGUCCCGGUUUAAGCAUGUAGGCUGGUUAUCCAGGCAAAUCCGGAUAAUCAAGGCUGAGGUGUGAUGACGAGGCACUACGGUGCUGAAGUAACAAAUGCCCUGCUUCCAGGAAAAGCCUCUAAGCAUCAGGUAACAUCAAAUCGUACCCCAAACCGACACAGGUGGUCAGGUAGAGAAUACCAAGGCGCUUGAGAGAACUCGGGUGAAGGAACUAGGCAAAAUGGUGCCGUAACUUCGGGAGAAGGCACGCUGGUGUGUAGGUGAAGUCCCUGCGGAUGGAGCUGAGACCAGUCGAAGAUACCAGCUGGCUGCAACUGUUUAUUAAAAACACAGCACUGUGCAAACACGAAAGUGGACGUAUACGGUGUGACGCCUGCCCGGUGCCGGAAGGUUAAUUGAUGGGGUUAUCCGUAAGGAGAAGCUCUUGAUCGAAGCCCCGGUAAACGGCGGCCGUAACUAUAACGGUCCUAAGGUAGCGAAAUUCCUUGUCGGGUAAGUUCCGACCUGCACGAAUGGCGUAAUGAUGGCCAGGCUGUCUCCACCCGAGACUCAGUGAAAUUGAACUCGCUGUGAAGAUGCAGUGUACCCGCGGCAAGACGGAAAGACCCCGUGAACCUUUACUAUAGCUUGACACUGAACAUUGAGCCUUGAUGUGUAGGAUAGGUGGGAGGCUUUGAAGCGUGGACGCCAGUCUGCGUGGAGCCAACCUUGAAAUACCACCCUUUAAUGUUUGAUGUUCUAACGUUGGCCCCUGACCGGGGUUGCGGACAGUGUCUGGUGGGUAGUUUGACUGGGGCGGUCUCCUCCCAAAGCGUAACGGAGGAGCACGAAGGUUAGCUAAUCCUGGUCGGACAUCAGGAGGUUAGUGCAAUGGCAUAAGCUAGCUUGACUGCGAGCGUGACGGCGCGAGCAGGUGCGAAAGCAGGUCAUAGUGAUCCGGUGGUUCUGAAUGGAAGGGCCAUCGCUCAACGGAUAAAAGGUACUCCGGGGAUAACAGGCUGAUACCGCCCAAGAGUUCAUAUCGACGGCGGUGUUUGGCACCUCGAUGUCGGCUCAUCACAUCCUGGGGCUGAAGUAGGUCCCAAGGGUAUGGCUGUUCGCCAUUUAAAGUGGUACGCGAGCUGGGUUUAGAACGUCGUGAGACAGUUCGGUCCCUAUCUGCCGUGGGCGCUGGAGAAUUGAGGGGGGCUGCUCCUAGUACGAGAGGACCGGAGUGGACGCAUCACUGGUGUUCGGGUUGUCAUGCCAAUGGCACUGCCCGGUAGCUAAAUGCGGAAGAGAUAAGUGCUGAAAGCAUCUAAGCACGAAACUUGCCCCGAGAUGAGUUCUCCCUGAGACUUUAAGUCUCCUGAAGGAACGUUGAAGACGACGACGUUGAUAGGCCGGGUGUGUAAGCGCAGCGAUGCGUUGAGCUAACCGGUACUAAUGAACCGUGAGGCUUAACCUU
rnacentral:rRNA from 1 species